rnacentral:lncRNA from 1 species
GCCCAACCCCCAAACAGGAAGGCUGCCAUUUUGUCAUCUGGGCACCAGGAAGAAGAGGGUUUUCCUUGGUGGCAGUGAACAAAGUGUUCUACUGUGGAGCCGUUUUCGCAGUCGCAGACACUGUGUCUGUACAGGGAGUUCCUGUCCCUGGCCCAAACCCGCAGACCAACAGCAAAGAAGGACAAGGUCAACCGUUGCCUCGGCUUUCUUUUGGCAUUAUUGCAGAGGAGCUUCACCUCACACUCGUGGAGUAUUCCUCCAGGCCUGAUGUCAGUAGAUUUAAUCUGCUCUAUAGGUUUCACUUCUGACAGUAACUGCUAUUGUAAGUUAAAAC